rnacentral:rRNA from 1 species
AUUGAACGCUAGCGGGAUGCUUUACACAUGCAAGUCGAACGCGUGGCGGACGGGUGAGUAAUCUAUCGGAACGUGCCCCGUAGCGGGGGAUAACUACUCGAAAGAGUGGCUAAUACCGCAUACUCUUGGAGCGGCCGAUAUCGGAUUAGCUAGUUGGUGGGGUAAAGGGUCACCAAGGCAACGAUCCCUCGCGGGUUUGAGAGGACGACCAGCCAAACUGGGACUGAGAAACGGACCAGACUCCAACGGGAGGCAGCAGUGGGGAAUUUUGGACAAUGGGGGAAAGCCUGAUGCAGCCAUCCCGCGUGUAUGAGAAGGCCUUCGGGUUGUAAAGUACUUUUGGCAGAGAAGCGGUAUCUGCAGAAGAAGCACCGGCUAACUACGUGCCAGCAGCCGCGGUAAGAC